UACAGGGGGGGCAAGCGUUGUUCGGAAUUACUGGGCGUAAAGGGCUCGUAGGCGGCCAACUAAGUCCGACGUGAAAUCCCAAAACUUAACUUUGGAACUGCGUCGGAUACUGGAUGGCUUGAAUUCGGGAGAGGGAUGCAGAAUUCCAGGUGUAGCGGUGAAAUGCGUAGAUAUCUGGAGGAAUACCGGUGGCGAAGGCGGCAUCCUGGACCGACAUUGACGCUGAGGAGCGAAAGCUAGGGGAGCAAACGGG
rnacentral:rRNA from 1 species